AGAGCAGGAGUGGCAAUCAUGUUUCUCCAUUUCUCUUGUUAUUUUAGAAUCUCACCCUGGAAGAAUCCCAUUCUUUGGCCUACAAAAGGUGAACGACAACAUGCAUAGAUUUUUAUGUUUCUGCUUAAAUAAAGCAUCACCACAGAGGAAGACUGGACAGAAAAGGUAAAAGCCAGUGAUGCCAUGUAUGCAGUGCUGCAUCCCUCCUUGCCAUGGGAGAGAUUUACAGUUGCAUCAUGCAUCUUGCUGGACUGUCAAACUGACAGGGGGAGAAAGCAAUUAAAGGAUAACAUCAGUGUAUCAGCGCUAAUAAUUUAUAAGAUACACAUUUAUAUUAACAGGGCAUACGUUAGUAUUUACAAGAAGUGAUAUGGGAGAUAAAUGUUGAUGGAAACAUAAACUGUAAAAUUGGUGUGACAGUAGAAUCCAUGGAACAUGGUCAGACUUGGAGCUCAGCGUGGGACAAGGAGGCCGUUGGAACCACCUGCUGUGUGUUUGGCUCACAACGGUCAUCGAAGGACUGAACAAGAGAGAUUAGGACCCAUGUGAACUGAUUGAUCGUGUGGGUUAUAUACCAGCCCAGUGCUCCUAGGACUUUUUCUGUGUGAGAUCUGUGCCCUCCUGGAAGGUUUUUGAAGAGGCAACGAUAACUGCUUGAAAGCCAUGUGCAUAGUUUAUGGCAGUGUGGUUUACUUCUACAGAACAGUAUCUAAACUGGAGUGAAAAAACAAGCAGUGGAGAGGACGAUACCUCAGCCCACUGCAGGGUCCUUACUGUUGGAGUACCCUGCAUAGGCUCCCAGGUAAAUGCUUAGGCAUCUCAGCUGGUUUGGCUCCUCACAUCUUUGACUAUUAAACCCUGUCCUACUUUUGGUGACUUUGUUGUGCUUUUGUUAUCUAGGACUACAGGCAAUCAGUGCCAGCUGCAUGCUUAUUAUUUGGAAUUGGAUCUUUAAUUUUUAUAUGAAUUAUCUGCAGCUUACACUUGAUCUGCCAGCUCAGCAGCACAAUAUCACUUAAGCUACAUGCUGUAUGUCUCAGGAAUGAUUGUAACGGGGUUGGAUCUUUGUGAGCAAGACAGAAAUCAUGCCUUCUACUAGCACACUUUAAAAGGUACUUGUUAAGAUUUAAUUUAGAACACAGUAUAGAAGGUGUCUCAUCCUUUCCAAAGACUGGUGACAUCUUGAGAAGAACACAGUUUAUGAAGGUAGAUGUUGCUCCCUCAGCUGCUAACUCUUAAAUGAGGGUAAGGAGGGGGGGACCCCAGGUCCACCUAUUCCAGUCUCUUAGGAACUCUGCUUGCACCCGAGCUCCCUGGGUUAGCCACACCUUCUCACCAGGUGCUCAGUCAUCGGUUCAGGCCAUGACCUAGCAAUUCCCAUGCAAAUGGUAAGAAAUUACUGAGCAAUUACAAAUAAAUAAAUAAAU
ensembl:lncRNA